rnacentral:rRNA from 1 species
ACGUAGGUGACAAGCGUUGUCCGGAUUUACUGGGCGUAAAGAGCGCGCAGGCGGUCGUUCAAGUCGAGUGUGAAAGCCCCCGGCUCAACUGGGGAGGGUCAUUCGAUACUGAUCGACUCGAAGGCAGGAGAGGGUAGUGGAAUUCCCGGUGUAGUGGUGAAAUGCGUAGAUAUCGGGAGGAACACCAGUGGCGAAGGCGACUCACUGGCCCGUUACUGACGCUGAGGCGCGAAAGCGUGGGGAGCAAACAGGA